rnacentral:lncRNA from 1 species
CAUCAUCAAGGAUAUUCGAGACCUGUUCUACGGAUACUUUCCAGAUCCGCGGCCCCUGUAUUUAUGAGAUCUGCUACCUUUACUUGAAGAGAGUUGGAUCCGACGGCUGGAAACCGGAGAGCGUCAAGGUGUACGGUUCAGAUCGUCCUGCGAUUACCUUUAAAUAUAAUAAGCUUCUUCCUAAUGGAGUCUGGUAUGGAUUUAAUCACUGUCGUAAGAUCAUGUAGCUGAUCUGCCGUAGAAUUCCACUAUCCAUCAAAUUUGUUUUUUUAAUUUAUGUAUUUAAUCUCUGUUUUGUUUGCUUUCAGAGAUUAGUUUAUCGCCAAAUAAAGGUAUUUUUUUGAUUUCUCAGGUACCUUGUUGUUACAAUUUUAGCCUUUAUAAAUGAACUUUAUCAGAUGCGUUGUAUCCAUAAAUGGGGAUUUUGAUUCGCCCUAUUGUAAUUUUUUUUGGUUAAACCUUAUUAUAAUUUCAUUCACAGCAUCUACGUAAUAAAAAGGAAAAUAUAUGUGUUCAUAUUAUAAACGGCAACGUUUUUUUUUUUUUUUUAGUAAGUAGGAAUAACCAAAUUUGUUAACAAUUUCCAGCUGAGCCUGAUUUUAUGUUAGAUCCGCAUCUUCCAAUAUAUAUAUAUGUUUGGAAGAUGUUUUAUCACAUCAAAAAGUUUCGAGGUGGAAGAAUUAUGACACUCCAAAUUGUUAGUUUAUAUAAAUAUAAAUAUUCUGUGUAUGUAUAUAAUUAAUCAAUUAAAAAAUAAAAUAAAGAAAAUUGAGCUGUCUAUAUAUUUGGACCCUUGAUUAAUUAACUAUGCGUUUGGGGAAUAUAUUGACACGUGUCUGGUGACAUGUGGUUUGGGUUGGUCGAUUUGAUUUAUGUGUUAUCACUUUAAUUUAUGAAUUUUAUGUUUAUGUAUAUGUUAAAUAAAUGAAUAAUUAAAUUGAUAAAAUAUUUUUUUCUUAGCUUAUCAAUUUUGUUUUUAAAAUAGUUUGAUUUUUGAAUUAAUAAUAAAAAGUACUUAUAAAAUAAAUAUGAUUUCUUCAAUUAUUUAACUUGACAAGGAAAUAAUGUAUCUUAUAGAACAUUUAUAAAAUAGAAACAAUGAUAACUGACACAAAAAGAAUUAUUCAAGUAUAACACAAAGAGAAAGUAAUAGGAAUAGAGUUUCUUUUUGAGUUCUUACUUUAGAUUUUAAUGUUUUGAAUCGAUAUAAAAUUGUAAACUCAAAGUAAUUUUGAAGUACGAAAGUAAAAUUAAAGGAAAAAGCAAAAUUAGGACGGAGGGAAUACUAAACUACAUGAUUAUGUAAAUAUAUACUAAUUCUUAAACUACAUGAUUAUGUAAAUAUAUACUAAUUCUUAGUCAUCAUUGUCAUAGUUUUUGUUGAUUACCACUCGCGAUCAACAUUCAACGAUAAUUACAUGGGCUAAGUCUUUGAAUUUGUAUAAUUCAAAUCUUGUACUAUUCAUAGUUUGUAUAACGUUUGUAUAAUAUAAUUUGUGUAACUAUUUAAAAUUCAGAUGCUUGUGCUUGUAUCAAUUCGUUAUUUCAAAUUUAUACAAAUAUAACUCAAUUAAAUAAAUAUAAGCGCAAAUUAUACAAAAUCACCAAUAAAAUAAUUUAAGUGAUAAUUAUAACACUUAAAUAUAUAAACUAUAGCUAUAAAAUAUAAUUAACUUUAUUAUAAUUACUACUAUUUACGAAAUUUCCAGAUUACGUAUAGAGUUAACUCCAAUAUUGGAGUAGUAGUUUAUAGAAUGUAGGACCAAUUCUUUAUUUAAAAAGUUUAUUUACUGUUUUUAGUAGCCACGUUGCAUUGAAAUCUCUUUCGUCAAUGCGAUACGCAAUGCCUGAUGCGUAAAAAAAGAAAAAGAAAAAAGAAAAAUAGGGGUGGUGAGACUAUUAAAGUUCGUCAACAACAAUAAUCAAAAUUAAAUGGUGAUAAUGAAGAUGAGUGUUCACCUCUUUGUGUUCCCCAGCUUAGUGGCUUUCUUCUUCUGUCUCUCUCAAGCAAAAUCAAUUACUUCAACUUCAACAAAACCCCUAAUUUACAUCGAAACCAAUCAGAGCACCGCUGCUGCUGCUAGAAGCUGCUCAUACACAUUGACAAUCAAAACAAGCUGUUCUUCACCUAAAUACACCAGAGACAGAGUCAGUAUUGCUUUUGGAGAUUCUUACGGUUUUGAGGUUCACGCGCCAAAGCUAGAUGAUCCGUCGUCGAAGAUAUUCGAAAGCUGUUCUACUGAUACUUUUCAGAUCCGUGGCCCCUGUAUUUAUGAGAUCUGCUACCUAAAUUUGAAGAGAGUUGGAUCGGACGGCUGGAAACCGGAGAGCGUCAAAGUUUACGGUCCAGAUCGUCCUGCUAUUACCUUUAAGUAUGAUAAGUUUCUUCCUAAUGGAGUUUGGUUUGGAUUUGAUCACUGUAAGAAACGCUCUCUCUAGGAAUAUGUUGUGUAUGAAAUUUGCUUUUUGCAGAUUUAAUCCAUGUAUUUAAAUGUGUUGUUUGGAUACAAUGAACAUUUGGUACGAUAGCGUUAAUGGGAGACGAUGGUGAAUGAAGAGGAUAAAGUGCCCUGUACUAAUAUUUUAAAAAUAACUUUGAGUUGUGAAUUAGUUUCAAUAUAGUAAUUAAAUCUGAAUCAAUAAAUUUAUGUCAUAUUCAGUUAUAAAAAAUUAAUCAUUUUGCAUAGGCUUUUUUAAAAGAAGGGAUAAUUUUACGAAAUCACCAAUUUGAUUAAUUUACCCUUUAUUCAUUGGGAAAUGUCUUGUAAUCUAUCUGAUUGAAAUCACUGUAUUAAUACCGAAUUUUGGAAAAAACUUUGUAUUUAUGUACUAUUUAAUAAUGUAUUUCAUAAUAUAUAUAUGUUUACGUGGAUAUCAUAAAUAUUGUAUCAUUAUAAAUAAAAACUUAUUCACGUGAAUAUAUAUAAACCUUUAAAAUACACUAUUAAAUAACGCAUGAAUAAUAAAUCAUGCUCAAAGUUUGAGAUUGCAAUAUCAAUUUUUGUCAAAAUUUAAAUAUAUUUCGAAUUAUUUUUCCUUUAUUCAUAUCGAUGGUCGACACGGAUAAUUAAAAUAAAUAUAAUGGGAAAAGGCAUAUAAAAAUUAUAAGUACUUCAAAGUUGGUGAUAACAAGAAUACAAAAUAGUGAUCAAGUGUUUAAUGAACUCAUUGAAAAGAUAAAUUUAGAACUUUAAUUUUGUUUUAUGUUUUCAAAGAGAAACUAUGGGAACAUUAAGCAUGAUUUCUUCUUUUUCCAAAUAACCUUGCUAAAAUAAAUUGUAUGUGGUAUCCUCUAGAAAAAAACAUUGAUACAACUCCAGAAGAUUUUCAGAAUCUGAUAAUUGACAUUUGAAUGGAAUGAAUUAAUACAAAGUUUUCAACUUUUAGUAUGUGGAUUGUGGGGUUAAAU